CUUAAGUCGAAGUAAUAUUCUAAACAUGACCUUUCUCCUGAUUUCAAAACACCUAAAAAUAGACCUUCAUCCAAGCCCAAACAGAGUAUCACAGCUGACCUCUCUUCUGUUGUCAAAAUGCCAAGUAAUAAAAUACAUCAUUAACUGAUAAGAUCAGUUGUCAGUAUUGUCAGGCAUGUUUUACCAACAGAAGUAAUUGCUAUCGCAAUGAAAGCGUUUGUAGUGGUAACUCAAAAUCCAGUCCACAGUAUUGGUGCCCUAGUUGUUCAACUAUUUCCAAUCGAAUGGGCAAUUUAAAAUCUCACUCAAAGAAAUGCAGUGGGAAUGAGACUGCAAAA